AGGAUAAACGCUGGCGGCGUGCCUUACGCAUGCAAGUCGAACGGUGUCCUUCGGGGCACAGUGGCGGACGGGUGAGUAACACGUACGUAACCUGCCGAUUUGUGGGGGAUACCGGUCCGAAAGGGUCGCUAAUACCGCAUACGUUCGCUCCGCGAGGGGUGAGGAAAGGGCUUCGGCCCGCAGAUUGAGGGGCGUGCGGCCGAUUAGCUUGUUGGUGGGGUAACGGCCUACCAAGGCGAUGAUCGGUAGCUGGGCUGAGAGGCCGAGCAGCCACACUGGGACUGAGACACGGCCCCAGACUCCUACGGGAGGCAGCAGCGAGGAAUUUUGCGCAAUGGGCGAAAGCCUGACGCAGCAACGCCGCGUGGGUGAGGAAGGCCUUCGGGUCGUAAAGCCCUUUUGUCGGGACGAAUACUGACGGUACCCGACGAAGAAGCCACGGCUAACUACGCGCCAGCAGCCGC
rnacentral:rRNA from 1 species